GGAGUAGUUCAGCUGCAGGGGAAGAGGGGAGGAUGUGGCCUGGCUGCUCUGGGUCCCUUUUUAGGCCACAAUGUGGGUGGGGGUGGAACCAAAGGCCCGGAGCCACGGAAGGUGAGUGUGGAGACAGUGGUUGAAAUCGGGUGGAUUAGGGAGAUGAAAAAGGGAGAAAGAUGAGAGGUAGGGGAUUAGCAGAAAAGAAGUGUCAACUCCAGAAGAGAAGCCUUGGGUUUUAUGGAAUGUGCUCCGUGUAAAAAAUAACUGCAUUUUGAUGUCUCUUCCAGGCUUUUCAUAGCUAGACAGCUGCAGAGGCAGAGAAAAAUGCAGAGGCUGAAGUGGGAGGAGUGUGUUCAGGAGAUGCCUGAUCUUCGAGAAAGGUCCCCGGCGGUGACCUGCACACGGUGCUCUCCCUUACCUCACACACACCUCGAAUACUUGGCCAUGCUGCUCAGGGGAUCGUGUCGUUCGUGUGGCACACUGUUUGUGAAGGAGGAAGCCUCCUUGAGCUGAGAUGAACCACCUUUCCUGAUUCCUGCGUAAUACCCCCAACUCUGCUCAUUUGGUCUCUGGGUAAAUCCUCCUAAUGGUGGUGAGUGCUGGGUGGGGACUGCCCUCAGAGGGCCUGCGAUGAAAG
rnacentral:lncRNA from 12 species